UACGUAGGUGGCGAGCGUUGUCCGGAUUUACUGGGCGUAAAGGGAGCGUAGGCGGACUUUUAAGUGAGAUGUGAAAUACUCGGGCUCAACUUGAGUGCUGCAUUUCAAACUGGAAGUCUAGAGUGCAGGAGAGGAGAAUGGAAUUCCUAGUGUAGCGGUGAAAUGCGUAGAGAUUAGGAAGAACACCAGUGGCGAAGCCGAUUCUCUGGACUGUAACUGACGCUGAGGCUCGAAAGCGUGGGGAGCAAACAGG
rnacentral:rRNA from 1 species